ACGAGUUAGGGUCUCUCCAGGCCCGACCUCCCAACCCUUUGUUUACCGAACCUCUGUUGCUUCGGCGGACCCGUCUCACGACCGCCGGGGGACCGCCGACAAGGCGUCCUCUGGCCAGCGUCCGUCGAUAGCCAAAACAUUUAAACCCUGAAUAAAUCGUGUCUUGUGUCUGAGUCUAUGAUUAAAUCAAAAACA
rnacentral:misc_RNA from 2 species